rnacentral:rRNA from 1 species
AGAUAUGAUCCAGAGUACCACGGGACACGUGAAACCCUGUGGGAAGCAGGAGGGACCACCCUCCAAGGCUAAAUACUACCUAGUGACCGAUAGCGUAUAAUACCGUGAGGGAAAGGUGAAAAGAACCCCGGGAGGGGCGUGACAUAGAACCUGAAACCCUGCACUUACAAGCUGUGGAAGCACAUGUCUUGUGUGACCGCGUACUUUUUGUAGAACGGGCCAACGAGUUACGUUAAGUAGCAAGGUUAAGCACUUAAGGUGCGGAGCCGUAGCGAAAGCGAGUUUUAACUGAGCGUUCAGUUACUUGACGUAGACCCGAAACCGGGCGAUCUACCCAUGAGCAGGAUGAAGCGAAAGUAAAAUUUCGUGGAGGUCCGAACCCACGAGCGUUGAAAAGCUCGGGGAUGACUUGUGGGUAGCGGUGAAAUUCCAAUCGAGCCCGGAGAUAGCUGGUUCUCCCCGAAAUAGCUUUAGGGCUAGCCUCAAGGUGAGAGAUACGGAGGUAGAGCACUGAAUGUCCUAGGGGGUAUUGCACCUACCGAAGACUAUCAAACUCCGAAUGCCGUCAUCUUAUACUUGGGAGUCAGACUGUGGGUGAUAAGAUUCAUAGUCGAAAGGGCAACAGCCCAGAUCGUCAGCUAAGGUCCCUAAAUGUAAGUUAAGUGGUAAAGGAUGUGGGAUUGCACAGACAACCAGGAUGUUGGCUUAGAAGCAGCCACUCAUUCAAAGAGUGCGUAAUAGCUCACUGGUCUAUUGAUCC